UAUGCACUGGAUUCCAGGUGUGGACACUAUUGCAGUACAACAGCAAAGACAACAACUCAGUCAAUAUAAUAUGUCAACAUAAUGCACUGGAAAACUGGACUAUUCGUGCCGAAGUGCUCAUGAAUAAUGAAAACUUUUGCAAUGCAAAGCAAAACAACACAGCAUGUGAAAUGAGACAAGAAGGAAAACAGUUCAAUUUUACACUGAAAAUUACUGCUGAGCAAAGAAGACUUCCUUUUAAUUGUUUGGUUUACAAAAGUGGACCACUCCCCAUCCAAUUGAGAAAGGGAGAAGAAAUGAUGCUGUUCCCAGGAUGCGAUAUUCCACCUCCGAUACCUACGAACUCAAGCAAAUGCUUGGAUGUGGGCAGUGAUUGCGCUCAUACUGCUCUAGUCGGUUUACUCACCUGGGCUCUGAUUGGAUUUGUGCUUCUGCUGUUUCUCUACAGUUUCAUUAUUACUGUUGUUUAUAUCAAACUAAGGCUCGCGAUUUCUGAAGAGCUAACAUUAACCUAUGUUCCAAUGCAGUAACAGGGACUUGUACGGUGAAAGCUCCACAAAAUCUAAUUAAAGUAAAUGGAUUUUAAAAUGUUAUUUUUAAAGACAACAAUAAAAACCUAUGUCAUUAAUUCAAUUCAAUUUACUUUUAUUUGUAUAGUGCUUUUUACAAUGGGCAUUGUCUCAAAGCAGCAUUACAGAUGUUAUAAACAUCUGUAAAGAUGUUGUUAAUAUGGCGAAACUCUCUGAAAGGAGCUAUUUAUUUAACAUUCAUGGAAGGAGUCUCCAGUCUUCCCUAUUAGAGAGGAACAUACAUCUUUAGGAAGCUAAGAAUCCUAAAAACAAAAAAGUGUAAUAUAAAUUUUAGCAAUUUGCUGCAUCAUGACCUAUAUUUUGUUCACCAGUCUUUUCUUUAGAUCAUACGAUUGUUCUGUAUUGGCAGAACAACUUUAAUAUACAUACACUUACUGGUCUG
ensembl:lncRNA